rnacentral:rRNA from 1 species
AGUGAACGCUGGCGGUAGGCCUAACACAUGCAAGUCGAACGGCAGCACAGUAAGAGCUUGCUCUUACGGGUGGCGAGUGGCGGACGAGUGAGGAAUACAUCGGAAUCUACUUUUUCGUGGGGGAUAACGUAGGAAACUUACGCUAAUACCGCAUACGACCUACGGGUGAAAGCAGGGGAUCUUCGGACCUUGCGCGAUUGAAUGAGCCGAUGUCGGAUUAGCUAGUUGGCGGGGUAAAGGCCCACCAAGGCGACGAUCCGUAGCUGGUCUGAGAGGAUGAUCAGCCACACUGGAACUGAGACACGGUCCAGACUCCUACGGGAGGCAGCAGUGGGGAAUAUUGGACAAUGGGCGCAAGCCUGAUCCAGCCAUACCGCGUGGGUGAAGAAGGCCUUCGGGUUGUAAAGCCCUUUUGUUGGGAAAGAAAAGCAGCAGGUUAAUACCCCGCUGUUCUGACGGUACCCAAAGAAUAAGCACCGGCUAACUUCGUG